rnacentral:rRNA from 1 species
GAUGAACGCUAGCGGGAGGCUUAACACAUGCAAGUCGAGGGGUAAGGAGGUAGCAAUACUUCCCCAGACCGGCGCACGGGUGAGUAACGCGUAUGCAACCUGCCCUUUACAGGGGGAUAGCCCGGAGAAAUCCGGAUUAAUACCCCAUGGUUUUAUCAGAUCGCAUGGUUUGAUAAAUAAACUUUCGGGUGGUAAAGGAUGGGCAUGCGUGGCAUUAGCUUGUUGGAGUGGUAACGGCACACCAAGGCUACGAUGUCUAGGGGUUCUGAGAGGAAGGUCCCCCACACUGGUACUGAGACACGGACCAGACUCCUACGGGAGGCAG